GNAAANAACAACAGGGUAUUGCCCUCAGNUAACGGCGAGUGAAGCGGCAAAAGCUCAUCUUUAAAAGCUUCGCCAUUGUAACGGUGGCGGAGGGGGCGGAUCGCAAAAGUCCAUUGGAACAUGGCGCCAUCGAGGGUGACAGCCCCGUCAAGAUACGCCCCCACCCCUCCACCAAUAGAGUCGAGUUGUUUGGGAAUGCAACUCUAACAAGGUGGUAAACUCCAUCUAAGGCUAAAUAUCGACGAGAGACCGAUAGCGAACAAGUACAGUGAUGGAAAGAUGAAAAGCACUUUGAAAAGAGAGUGAAACAGUACGUGAAAUUGUUGAAAAGGGAAA
rnacentral:rRNA from 1 species